UCCCAGACUCCUACGGGAGGCAGCAGUGAGGAAUAUUGGUCAAUGGCCGCAGGGCUGAACCAGCCAAGUCGCGUGAGGGAUGACGGUCCUAUGGAUUGUAAACCUCUUUUGUCAGGGAGCAAAGGGCGCCACGUGUGGCGUUUUGCGAGUACCUGAAGAAAAAGCAUCGGCUAACUACGUGCCAGCAGCCGCGGUAAUACGUAGGGGGCGAGCGUUAUCCGGAUUCACUGGGUGUAAAGGGAGCGUAGACGGCCAUGCAAGCCAGGGGUGAAAGCCCGGGGCCCAACCCCGGAACUGCAUUGGAAACUGUAUAUCUAGAGUGUCGGAGAGGCAAGUGGAAUUCCUGGUGUAGCGGUGAAAUGCGUAGAUAUCAGGAGGAACACCAGUGGCGAAGGCGGCUUGCUGGACGAUGACUGACGUUGAGGCUCGAAAGCGUGGGGAGCAAACAGGAUUAGAUACCCUAGUAC
rnacentral:rRNA from 1 species